GUAGGUGGCAAGCGUUGUCCGGAAUUAUUGGGCGUAAAGCGCGCGCAGGCGGUUUUUAAGUCUGAUGUGAAAGCCACGGGCUCAACCGUGGAGGGUCAUUGGAAACUGGAGAACUUGAGUACAGAAGAGGAAAGCGGAAUUCCACGUGUAGCGGUGAAAUGCGUAGAGAUGUGGAGGAACACCAGUGGCGAAGGCGGCUUUCUGGUCUGUAACUGACGCUGAGGCGCGAAAGCGUGGGGAGCAAACAGGAUUAGAUACCCUGGUAGUCCACGCCGUAAACGAUGAGUGCUAAGUGUUAGGGGGGUUUCCGCCCCUUAGUGCUGCAGCUAACGCAUUAAGCACUCCGCCUGGGGAGUACGGCCGCAAAGGCUGA
rnacentral:rRNA from 1 species